rnacentral:rRNA from 1 species
AUUGAACGCUGGCGGCAUGCUUUACACAUGCAAGUCGAACGGUAACAGGCCGCAAGGUGCUGACGAGUGGCGAACGGGUGAGUAAUGCAUCGGAACGUGCCCAGUCGUGGGGGAUAACGCAGCGAAAGCUGCGCUAAUACCGCAUACGAUCUAUGGAUGAAAGCGGGGGACCGUAAGGCCUCGCGCGAUUGGAGCGGCCGAUGGCAGAUUAGGUAGUUGGUGGGGUAAAGGCUAACCAAGCCAACGAUCUGUAGCUGGUCUGAGAGGACGACCAGCCACACUGGGACUGAGACACGGCCCAGACUCCUACGGGAGGCAGAAGUGGGGAAUUUUGGACAAUGGGCGCAAGCCUGAUCCAGCAAUGCCGCGUGCAGGAAGAAGGCCUUCGGGUUGUAAACUGCUUUUGUACGGAACGAAACGGUCCUGGUUAAUACCUGGGGCUAAUGACGGUACCGUAAGAAUAAGCACCGGCUAACUACGUGCCAGCCGCCGCCGUAAUAC